rnacentral:lncRNA from 1 species
GUUCUUCUGGCUGGUCUAAGAAUCAGAUUGGCAUGAGACAGAUUAACAGGAGAAAAAACAAACAAAAGUUUAAUAACAUGCAUACACGGGAGAAACGCAGGAACACUGAGUAACUCACCAAAAUGAUGGAAGCCCUCAGCAUUAAAUACCAUCCUCAGCUAAAGACAAAAGCUGCUCUGGGCAGGGAGGGUCAGGGACUUCAAAGGGAAGGAAGGCAAUUCACAGGUAUGUGAAAAGGAGCAAACGUUUGGAAAACAAGUGUCUCUAGGUUCCUCCCUGUCUACCACCUAGUUCAUGUUAUGCUAAGGUGAUAGCUCCCUUCCUGAGACAGGUUUUUUAUAUGCAUUGUUUUAGGCAGUUAAGGGGGAGGUAACGGUAACAAGAAAAACUUUGAGUAUUUUGUUUCUUAAAAAUAGUCAGCCUAAAAUAAUCCUCAAGUUAAAGAGACACAUUUUGAGGUGGCACAUUUUGUUCCCCUUCUGUGCAUUCUAUGAUGUUCUCACAAUGACAAAAUCACCUAAUGACACAUUUCUCAGGAAGUAUCCCCUUUAAGUGAUGCAUGACUGUAUUCCCAAGAUACACUUUGAGAAACUCUGCUAGGUAUCCUUAACUCUUGAUUUUUUUUUUUUUUGAGCAAGUUUAGUCCUGAGCUAACUACUGCCAAUCCUUCUCUUUUUGCUGAGGAAGACUGGCCCUGAGCUCACAUCCGUGCCCAUCUUCCUCUACUUUAUAUGUGGGACGCCUACCACAGCAUGGCUUUUGCCAAGCGGUGCCAUGCCUGCACCCGGGAUCCAAACUGGUGAACUCUGGGCCACCGAGAAGCAGAACGUGUGCACUUAACCACUGCACCACCAGGCCGGCCCCUUAAAUCUUGAUUUUAAUGGCACUUGACAUUUCCCAGGAAAGCCACAAAAGCAACUGGUAGGUUACUGACUUAUUUUUUAAACACAAAGUUGAAAUAUUAUUUAUAAAAUUACUAAAAAGGGCCUAAGCUAAUAUCCUGGCUGAUGUCUUCUGGGUUGGAGAUAGACAUUUGAAGGAAUGACGGCCAAGAGAAUUGUGUUGUGGAUGUUAAUUAGCCAUCCUGGAGUGAGUGAAAUAGCCAACUUCAGCUUUAAAGGCAAUGAAAGCCAAAUAGCCUCUAAGAAUUAAAUCAUUGCACAGACUUUUACAGUACUGACCUCACAAUUUAUAAAUGCUCUCAGAUUAAUAAAAGUACUUUUUGAUUCAGGAAAUUUUAAUCUGAAGCCAUUUCUUUUAGGUGAUGAAGAACAAAGUAAGGUGUAGAUUUUCUGAGAGCUCUCCUGUUCCUCUAGAAAUAUGCUACAACAAAGUACAACCAUUUUUGCUUCAGUAUUUUUUCAUUAUCUAAAUAGUGUAUUUUAAACAGCAAAACCUCCUAGUAUGAAAGAGUUGUUUUCCCUUAAUUUAAUGUUAAGAGUUCCCUUUCACUUAAUAGAUGAGUGAUGCUCUUAAGGGUCUUUUAAUGGUUCUCAAGCAGCAAAACCUGCAAAUGGAGAUCCAUUUUCUCCGUGUGUCUUAUUAAGCUCUUAUAGAAGAGAGUAACGUGGCUGAGGAAAAAACCACCGGUGCUUUUUUCAGGCUAUGAGAGAAAAAAUGGAUUUCAGAAUAAUGAAAACUGAGUUUUGACUUUCAAUGCCCUUCCAGGGGUGUUUAUAGGGGCCUUAUCAGGGGAAGAGAAUGUUUACUUCCUGAGUAUAAGAACCUCGACUUCCUGCUUCUUGAGUAAUAAAAACUUCAACUUCUGGAACUCAUUAGCCUGACUUGUAAGGGGUGAGUGUCUACAGCAAAAGUAUAUUUUAAAAGACUUCUUAUUCUGGAAAAUUUCAAGCAUACCCCCAAAUAAGGAGAAUAUUGUAAAGCUCUGCAUACCCAGCAUCAGGCUUCAGCAAUUAGCAAUAUGUUACCAAUCUCAUUUCUUUUCUUUUUUUUUGAGGAAGAUUAGCCCUGAGCUAACUAUUGCCAAUCCUCCUCUUUUUGCUGAGGAAGACUGGCCCUGAGCUAACAUCUGUGCCCAUCUUCCUCCACUUUAUAUGUGGGACGUCUACCACAGCAUAGCUUUUUGCCAAGCAGUGCCACAUCCGCACCCAGGAUCCGAACCAGCGAACCCAAGGCCGCAGAACAUGCACACUUAACCGCUGCACCACCGGGCCAGCCCUGCCAAUCUCAUUUCAUCUGUCCGCCUACCUUUCUUUUUGCUCAAGCAUUUUCCAGAAAAUUCCAGAUAUUGUGUCAUAUCACCUGUAAAAAUUUUAGUAUGCAUUUCUAAUUGACAAAAAUGUUUUAAAAAUAACUAAAUGCUAUUAUUCAUACCUAACAAUAAUUUUAAAUUAUCAUCUAACACCAGGUCCAUGUUCGGACUUCCCUGAUGGUCUCAAAGCCGUAUUUUUACAGGUGGUUUCUUCUAAUCAGAAUCCAAAUAAGAGCCACACACAGCAUUUGGCUAUGUCCGUAAGUCUCUUCUCUUUUAUACCAUCUUCCUCCCUUCCCUGACUACUCAUUUGCUGUAGAAAUUGGGUAAUUUGUCCUGUAAAAUGACCCACAUUCUGGAUUUGUCUUAUUGCCUCCCCCUCAGUGUCAUUUUACUUGUUUCUUGAUCCCCUGUAUGUCCUGUAAAGUGGCUUGAUGAGAUUCAGGUUGAAUUUUUUUGGGCAAGAAAACUUCAUACUUCCUGGUGCAUCACAUCACAAGGCACGUGCUGGCACAGCUGUCCCAUUUCUCUAGGCUUCAUCAGUGAAUUCAGGUGGUGUCAGUUGGAUGCCUCCAUCAUAAAGUUAGCCACACCCUUUCACUAACAGGCUUUAGUGUCCACUUAUGUUCAUUCAUUAUACUCUUUAUUCCAUUAGUAGCUG